rnacentral:rRNA from 1 species
AUUGAACGCUGGCGGCAUGCCUUACACAUGCAAGUCGAACGGUAACAGGUCUUCGGAUGCUGACGAGUGGCGAACGGGUGAGUAAUAUAUCGGAACGUGCCCAGUCGUGGGGGAUAACGCAGCGAAAGCUGUGCUAAUACCGCAUACGAUCUAUGGAUGAAAGCGGGGGAUCGUAAGACCUCGCGCGAUUGGAGCGGCCGAUAUCAGAUUAGGUAGUUGGUGGGGUAAAGGCCCACCAAGCCAACGAUCUGUAGCUGGUCUGAGAGGACGACCAGCCACACUGGAACUGAGACACGGUCCAGACUCCUACGGGAGGCAGCAGUGGGGAAUUUUGGACAAUGGGCGCAAGCCUGAUCCAGCAAUGCCGCGUGCAGGAUGAAGGCCUUCGGGUUGUAAACUGCUUUUGUACGGAACGAAAAGGUCCUAGUUAAUACCUGGGGCCCAUGACGGUACCGUAAGAAUAAGCACCGGCUAACUACGUGCCAGCCGCCGCGGUAA